rnacentral:rRNA from 1 species
UGGGGAAUAUUGGACAAUGGGAGAAAGCCUGAUCCAGCCAUGCCGCGUGUGUGAAGAAGGUCUUCGGAUUGUAAAGCACUUUAAGUUGGGAGGAAGGGCAGUAAGCGAAUACCUUGCUGUUUUGACGUUACCGACAGAAUAAGCACCGGCUAACUCUGUGCCAGCAGCCGCGGUAAUACAGAGGGUGCAAGCGUUAAUCGGAAUUACUGGGCGUAAAGCGCGCGUAGGUGGUUCGUUAAGUUGAAUGUGAAAGCCCCGGGCUCAACCUGGGAACUGCAUCCAAAACUGGCGAGCUAGAGUAGGGCAGAGGGUGGUGGAAUUUCCUGUGUAGCGGUGAAAUGCGUAGAUAUAGGAAGGAACACCAGUGGCGAAGGCGACCACCUGGGCUCAUACUGACACUGAGGUGCGAAAGCGUGGGGAGCAAACAGG